AUUGAACGCUGGCGGCAGGCUUAACACAUGCAAGUCGAGCGGGGUGAUGGUGCUUGCACUAUCACUAGCGGCGGACGGGUGAGUAAUGCUUAGGAAUCUGCCUAUUAGUGGGGGACAACAUCUCGAAAGGGAUGCUAAUACCGCAUACGUCCUACGGGAGAAAGCAGGGGAUCACUUGUGACCUUGCGCUAAUAGAUGAGCCUAAGUCGGAUUAGCUAGUUGGUGGGGUAAAGGCCUACCAAGGCGACGAUCUGUAGCGGGUCUGAGAGGAUGAUCCGCCACACUGGGACUGAGACACGGCCCAGACUCCUACGGGAGGCAGCAGUGGGGAGUAUUGGACAAUGGGGGGAACCCUGAUCCAGCCAUGCCGCGUGUGUGAAGAAGGCCUUAUGGUUGUAAAGCACUUUAAGCGAGGAGGAGGCUCUUUUGGUUAAUACCCAAGAUGAGUGGACGUUACUCGCAGAAUAAGCACCGGCUAACUCUGUGCCAGCAGCCGCAGUAA
rnacentral:rRNA from 1 species